rnacentral:rRNA from 1 species
CUUGCUUCUCUUGAGAGCGGCGGACGGGUGAGUAAUGCCUAGGAAUCUGCCUGGUAGUGGGGGAUAACGUUCGGAAACGGACGCUAAUACCGCAUACGUCCUACGGGAGAAAGCAGGGGACCUUCGGGCCUUGCGCUAUCAGAUGAGCCUAGGUCGGAUUAGCUAGUUGGUGGGGUAAUGGCUCACCAAGGCGACGAUCCGUAACUGGUCUGAGAGGAUGAUCAGUCACACUGGAACUGAGACACGGUCCAGACUCCUACGGGAGGCAGCAGUGGGGAAUAUUGGACAAUGGGCGAAAGCCUGAUCCAGCCAUGCCGCGUGUGUGAAGAAGGUCUUCGGAUUGUAAAGCACUUUAAGUUGGGAGGAAGGGUUGUAGAUUAAUACUCUGCAAUUUUGACGUUACCGACAGAAUAAGCACCGGCUAACUCUGUGCCAGCAGCCGCGGUAAUACAGAGGGUGCAAGCGUUAAUCGGAAUUACUGGGCGUAAAGCGCGCGUAGGUGGUUUGUUAAGUUGGGAUGUGAAAUCCCCGGGCUCAACCUGGGAAACUGCAUUCAAAACUGACUGACUAGAGUAUGGGUAGA